UACAGAGGGUGCGAGCGUUAAUCGGAAUUACUGGGCGUAAAGAGCUCGUAGGUGGUUUGUCACGUUGUUCGUGAAAACCCACAGCUCAACUGUGGGCGUGCGAGCGAUACGGGCAGACUAGAGUACUGCAGGGGGAGACUGGAAUUCCUGGUGUAGCGGUGGAAUGCGCAGAUAUCAGGAGGAACACCGGUGGCGAAGGCGGGGUCUCUGGGCAGUAACUGACGCUGAGGAGCGAAAGCGUGGGGAGCGAACAGG
rnacentral:rRNA from 1 species